ensembl:lncRNA
CAAAGACCCCACUGAGUACCAAAGAUCCCACUGAGUACCAUAGACCCCACUGUGUACCAAAGACCCCACUGCAUACUAAAGACCCCACAGGCUACCAAAGACCCCAUUGGCUACUAAAGACCCCAAUGGCUACCGAAAUUCCCAUAGGCUAUCAAAGACCCCACAGGCUACCAAAGACCCCAUAGGCUACCAAAGACCCCAGUGAGUACCAAAGACCACAUAGUCUACAAAACACCUCAUAGGCUACAAAGGACUCCUCUGAGUACCAAAGACCCUAUAGGCUACGAAAGUCCCUACAAGCUAUCAAAGACCACAUAGGCUCCCAAAGACCCCACAGGCUACCAAAGACCGCAUAGGCUAUCAGACACCCACAGAGUACCGAAGACCCCACUGAGUACCAAAGACUCUACUGAGCAUUAAAGUCCCCACUGAGUACCAGAGACCCCAUCUGGCUAAAAUGAAUUAAAGUCUUGAGAUGCCUAAAAGCCCUACAGCCAAAAAUUCCUAUAGUUCCAAGAAGAAAUAAUGAAAUAAAAAGAUGAUGAGUGGAGAGAAGAAAACCCAGACCUCUAGCUUUUUCUUUCUUUCUUUUGUAUUUCUUUUCUUUUGUUUUAUUUCAUCCCUAACAAUACUGAAAUCUCAAUCAUUAGAUGAAUAUAAACCAUUAAAUUCACCCUUCAGGAAGCUGAUGUGUAUAUCCUGAUCACUAAGCCUUAGAUAUCCCUCUCAUUUUGAGUUGUCUAAAUAGAGAGAAAGAAAGAGUGGAUUGAUUUAUUCCCAGUAUUUUAGCAAAAAUUUAUCAUAUUCCACUAGAAACGCUAUUGAGUGUGCACUUCACAUUCUUUUUGUAUUUUAAUGUGAGUACUAUCACACUGAAAUGGAUUACAACUCACCAUAUUUCUAUUUCUUGUUCUAUUCAGUACCUGUGAUUCACUUAUCCAUAACAAUUAACAAUAUUUAUGGAAGUAGACACACAAACCCCCUUUCGUUGUUAUAUUGUUGUAAAAACUAUUUUACAUGUUUUUUGGAGAAACCGAAUCGACCACAUAAGGUUACACGUUGGAAAAAAAUUAUUUUAGUAGACAGCCUAAUUCUAUUAUUUGAUACAAUGUCUCCUUUGAUGAAAUGGUUUUUUUUUUAAUUGCAAUUAUGUAAUUGACCAAUAGGGGGCAAAAUUGCAUAAAAAACAUGCAUUAGGCUAUAGUGCAUUGAACAGGAAAUUGUAAAUCACAAUAAAUAAAUAAAUAAAUAAAUAAAUAAAUAAAAAUCUGUUUGAGUGAGUAAUUAGGUUGAUAUGAG